AGUUUGAUCCUGGCUCAGGAUGAACGCUAGCGGCAGGCUUAAUACAUGCAAGUCGUGGGGCAGCAUGGGGUAGCAAUACCCUGAUGGCGACCGGCAAACGGGUGCGGAACACGUACGCAACCUUCCUUUAACUGGAGAAUAGCCCCUCGAAGGAGGGAUUAAUACUCCGUAACAUGAUGAUAAGGCAUCUUAUUAUUAUUAUAGCUCCGGCGGUUAAAGAUGGGCGUGCGCCUGAUUAGGUAGUUGGCGGGGUAACGGCCCACCAAGCCUGCGAUCAGUAACUGGUGUGAGAGCACGACCAGUCACACGGGCACUGAGACACGGGCCCGACUCCUACGGGAGGCAGCAGUAAGGAAUAUUGGUCAAUGGACGCAAGUCUGAACCAGCCAUGCCGCGUGGAGGAUUAAGGCCCUCUGGGUUGUAAACUCCUUUUAUCUGGGAAGAAAUCCAUAUAUUCUUAUGUGGUUGACGGUACCAGAGGAAUAAGCACCGGCUAACUCCGUGCCAGCAGCCGCGGUAAUACGGAGGGUGCAAGCGUUAUCCGGAUUCACUGGGUUUAAAGGGUGCGUAGGCGGGUAAGUAAGUCCGUGGUGAAAUCUCUGAGCUUAACUCAGAAACUGCCGUGGAUACUAUUUGCCUUGAAUAUUGUGGAGGUGAGCGGAAUAUGUCAUGUAGCGGUGAAAUGCUU
rnacentral:rRNA from 1 species